rnacentral:lncRNA from 1 species
UCCUGCUUCUCACAGGUAGGUAGGUAACUAGGUUAACGUGCUUAUAUACCACUUCCUCACCAAUCGAGGUACCAUUAGAGUAGAUGUACAAAUGUGAUAAGACCAAAAUGUCCAAACUAGCGUCCAUUAAGAAUUAGCUGUUUUUCAAAAAAUCAUUCUCUGCCGUCGGCAUGUUGACCUACUAACAGACAGCUGGAUGCUACGUCACAGGUAUGAUGCAGGUCAAAUCUACUGAGCAGUGGGUUUUUCCCCCCAAGUGUUUUACAAAAAGUCACUUUAUUAAUAGCUGGGAUGGUAGUUUUUUUGUUUUUUUUUAAUACUGUACAUAAUGUUUAUGUAUUUGUUUUAUAUACUGUGUAUUAAUAAUGUGCCAUAAGCCUGGACCUUUAAACUAUCAAUAAUAUUAGUUCAAUUUCUUUCUCUUUUUUUUUGGGAGAAAAAUGGCAAGAACACGGAGAGUCGCUGCUGAGAGGCUUUCAGUCAUUAAGCCAAGAGGGCGGAGGACAAGCACUGAAACUGCAACCAGUUCAGCUACAGUUUCAUCUGCAUCCGCAACAAGAACCUGCUGGAUCCGUCAGGCAGGAAGCUGUAGAUCAGCUCUUAUCAGGUACUUCAGUGCUGGGUCAGAUAGAAUAAUAGAUUUCAUGCCCCUUUGAUAUUAAUGUAGACACAAGCCAAAAACAGAAAAUCUGGGCGGAUCAGUUUGUCGAAUUUGGUUUGCUGUUGCAUAAUAGGCCCAGUGAUCAAUUCAACAUAUCAUUCGAAGCUAAUACAUUUUCUUUAAUUCCAAAGGCCAAGCCAAUACAAAUUCGUUCUAUGGACCUUUGGAAUACUGCACUCUAAAUCUACAUCACGGUGGCAGUGAAAGCUAAACUGGAGUUGGCCGUUUCUCUAAUGAAAUAUGCCAACUUAGUGCAGCAAAUUGCAAAAAAAGUAGGCAAUUAUAUAUGUUGCAAUUCUGUACAAUACAAAUUUUUUAAAAAUGGAGGCAGGCUUCUUCACACUUGCUCCCAUUUGACCAGCGAAAUGACGAGCUGUUCCUAGAAGCCAUGACAUGGGGCAACACACAACCACGUCACAGAACAGAUUGCAGUCUGGCAUUGGUCAAAACGGCCACAAUCAACACGAAGUAUUAUGCCUUUCAAAUGUAUGGCUUGUGCCACAGAACCAAUUGCUGGUUCAAACAUAGCAAGAACUUUAUUAAAAUGUACAUAGAAUAUUUACUAAUAACAUAUAUUGUUGGGUAAAAAUGUUGCUUGUGUGUUUAUUAUUACUCAAAUAGUGCAGAAUUAUUAAGUCCUAACCCAGUCUAACUGCUGUGGGUGGGGGUUGCCAGCUGCAACUGCUCCCGGCUGGCAGCAGUUUGGUUGGCAAGGUGGCAGUUUUUUCCCCACCAACAAUGGUCACUUGUUAGGUUUAUUAUAGGUUAGAUAUAAUCUGGAUUGAAUGCCAUCUGACGAAAUUCCAUAUAUGGUUGUCAGAUUUAAAAAAGGCCUUUUCAGUUCAAAAAGUGUCUUACUGGUUGUGUUUUUAGUGCUACAAGUGGUGGACAGUUUGACUGGGAUUUAACCACAUGUCAUAAAUAUAAUCCUUCAAAUCCCCACAUUCUCACACCUACUAGUGUAUCAAUAUCACUCAACAUUUAUCCUGUAGUAUCUACUUGCUGUGAAUGCACGGUCAUUGCAGUAAUAUUUAUAUUCUGCAUUUGGUACAUGUAUUCUCUGCUUUCACUGGUUAUAAGAUUGCAUUUGGGAUUAUUUGCUGAAGUUUAGUUUCCAUGAUCACAUCGGCAAUUGUCAAAAAGACAACCACUUGUGCGUUCUGCAAAACAUCUCCUGAAACACCUCAAACCCAACCACUUGUCAGAUGUCCGACAUGUUGCAUGAAGCAAAAAACUAAAACACUGCUUUCGACAACAAGUGCCAAAAUCGUGUUGAUGAAGAACAAUAUGAUUUUGUAACCAAUGCAGCAUUAACCAACUACUUGUACAAACUCCGGGCAGUUUCAAUGACUCUAAGGAACUGGAAUAUAAUUUCCUCAACAUUGUAACUGACCUGAAAUUUGUAACCAACAACUCAUUGAAAUAUUGCCUUAAAAAAAAAAAAUCUUAAUUUCCAAAAUCUUACCUACAUAUUCCAAAAGAAGAACUUGACAAAGAAUUGGUAAAGCUAGAAUCUGAUAUGCUGGACUAUAAACAACAAGCCACGAACCAACACAAAAGCUAUAAUUACGAUUGCUCUACUUUUGCAACAGAUGUUGACAAUGAAUUAGAAUCUUUCAAAAAUAAAAAUGGUGUCCUGAGAUCACAAGUGACAACACUUAAGGACAGAUGUCCGAUGUUGGAAAGAAAACUACCCCCCUUACCCCGGGACAAUCCAGAUAUGGCAACAAGUUUGAGCACAACUAAAACUGGUGGAUGCUGCCUGCAACUUACGGAGGAUACAGCUGCAAUAAACUCACCUGAAAAGAAAAUAUGCAGCUCUUAUGGAAACAAACAACCGGUUCAGUCCCUUACAACAGGGGCCUUCACAUUCAGCUCCUAACUGAGAGAAAACUACAAUACCAAAGUGACACCAACACAGUUUUCCCGAGAUACCAUCUCACUGGGUUGACCCUAAAGCAGGAAGCUCUAUGGUGCAAUCGUAGAAGGUUGGACAAUUCAGGGAAUGUGACCCACUCUGGCGAAAUCAGUCGCAUGUCGCAUUUGCCGAUUUUGCGUAAUGAGGCAAUUACGGUAGUGAAAAAAUACACUACCUGGUGAAAAUUGCGAUUUUGACAGAAAACAGUAGCUACAUGUUUAAGUUAUCAUUUCAAACUACCCUCAUUUAAUUUAAUAAUGUCUAAAUACUUUUUAUUACAAUUUUUAGUUGGGGUUAUUAUUCAGAGUUGAAACAAUGGUCCGAAUUAGGCUGUUGUCACAAGUCAAAUGUAUUUUGUAAAUUAUUAUUUAUUUUUUUUUGUAUUGAGCUACAUCGUCACUGUUCACUUUGUCAGUAUGUUUUAUGUAGCUGAGGCAAUGUAGCAUUAGAAGUCAGAAAUAGCUUGGUGUAUAAUUAUUGACAGCCUUGUGCGUUACUAUUAAUGCAAUAGAACAAUAGAGCUGUAGCUUGGCUUGUGGUUGUUGAGAAUGACUGUAGAGUGUGGGUAUGAAAUACUGUGUGGUGCAUGCUUUGGGAGCUUGGGUGUGAGUAGUUUUGGUGAAUAAAAGCAGUGUGGUGUAGUGUACUGGUCACUGGUAACACAUUCUUUGGUAGAGACGUUUGGAAAAAUAUAUUGGAACGAGAUAUGUGGGUGUACAUUAAAAGCUGGUAUAAGAGCUUUUUAUGCUACGUGAGAUGUGCCCCAGGUGUGGUGGAAGUUAUAACAAGAGGUGCGUCACGGGGUCAGGGCUGUCUUUCGUGAUGUUGAGGGGUCUCUUAGUUCGUAAGAGAUGAUGCAAUGGAAAACUGGAUGGAGAGCUGAGAGGUGGUGAAUUCGGUGUUUGGUGUAUCUAAGUAGAUACUAGGUGCUCCGUGGACGGAGAACUGGUUACUUGUGUAAUAACAUGACUUUGCAUUUUGUGUGAUUCAUUGAUAGUUUGUUGGUGGACUAUUAUGCAAUAUUAUGUGACGACAUAAUAUUGUAAACUAUUGUUGUGAAUUUGGUGUGAAUGGGAUGCGGGAAUGAAUGAUUGUGUUAAAUAUGAAAUCGAUGGGUGGUAUGAAAGGGUAUGGUGUGUUAUAUUUAUGAAUAUUUAUGAGAUUAUUGUAAAUUAAAAUUAUUGUUUAUAUCCUGAAUUAUGUUGUUCUUCAUAGUUGCUAGUACGUGACAGCUGUUCUUUGUUCAUUUUCACCACUUUGAAUCGUGGUAGCCAUGAAUAGCUUCAUAUUUGGUAUCACAUGGCGCCAAAAUAAUUCCUCAACACCAUUCUUUUAUUGACAUAUUGGUAUGACUUAGCUGUAAGCCAACAGGAAUAAAAAAAGGACCAUACAUAAACCAGUUUGUUACUAGGCAGACAUCUUAGCUAAUUGAUAUACGACCUUUGAUUGGUCAUUGCAGCAUUCAAGCUUAGUCUUUCAUCAAAGGAAAACACAAAAGAAGAAGAAAAAAAAGAUGGCUGCACCUAUGUUUUUGUUUGCAGUUCAAUUUUUAAAUGUGAAUUUAUGUAACAUUCCAAUCAGUUAUUUUACUUUCUGAUGAUUCUUAAGUGAGUAAAAAAGACGCUCUUGCAAGAACUAUCAGUGAGCUGAACAAUCUAAAUUUAAGUGGAGCCAAUUCGGUUAAUGAGUGGACAAAUGUAAUUUCCGAUUAUUCCUGGGAUGUCGACGAUUACGAUGACGGGGACAGAAUUCGAAACCAAAAUUUGUUCCUGAAUGACCCAGGAUGUGACUUUAGGACAAUGUUAUUUAUUUCAAGUAAAAAACAAAAACAAGAACAAAAAAACA